GGGGGGGGCUAGGGUGGUGUCAGCCGCCGCGGUAAUACCAGCUCCUCGAGUGGUCGGGGCGAUUAUUGGGCCUAAAGCAUCCGUAGCCGGUUCCGUAGGUCCUCUGUUAAAUCCAACCGCUUAACGGUUGACCUGCAGAGGAUACCGCGGGACUAGGAGGCGGGAGAGGCGGACGGUACUCCGCGUGUAGGGGUAAAAUCCUUUGAUCCGCGGAAGACCACCAGUGGCGAAGGCGGUCCGCCAGAACGCGCUCGACGGUGAGGGAUGAAAGCUGGGGGAGCGAACCGGAUUAGAUACCCGGGUAGUCCCAGCCGUAAACGAUGCUAGCUAGAUGAUUCAUUCGCAAGUCGCGAAUGAAGUGUCGCAGGGAAGCCGUUAAGCUAGCCGCCUGGGGAGUACGGUCGCAAGACUGAA
rnacentral:rRNA from 1 species